CCCACUUCUAACCAUUCUCAAUGCUAUCACUCUACUAGAACACGAAAUCACCCACUAAGAGUAAAGGAGAACAUGGCAACUUUAAGGAUGAAGUGUCCAUUAUCAGAAGUCUGGAUCCCAUCACCGCCAUCCACUCUGAAAAAUAAGGCUGGCCUUCACUACCUUCAAUGACCUCUCAAGUCUUUCCACUUCCAUUAGUUUCCACUGUCACUGUUCUAGUGCAGUCACCAUUAUUUUUCCCCUGAAUGAUUGUAGAAGCCCCUAAGUGAAUCCCAGCCUCACCAUCAUUCACCCCUCAAGCUACCCUCCACCUUGCAAAAACAGUGAGCUUACAAAACACAAAACUAGUUUGAUCACACAAGUGCCUAAAGCCUUUAUGGCUUUUCAAUGACUUCACAAUAAAGUCCAAAAUACAUAACAUGGCCUUUCAGCAAGCGACCACUCUCUACCUCUCUGGGCUCAUUGCCCAACACAGCCCUACUUGCUCUAGACGAUGACACCUUCUUUCAUACGGGCCUCUACACAGAAUGCUUCUCUGGCUUGCAAUGACCACCCGCUCUGCUUCAUCACUCCAGCCCCCGACAAUGAGGGAUGAGGCAGGACCUCCUGAUGAGUGCUGAGCUGGUAAUGCUAGGGGAGCGCCCCAGCAUCCUGCUAUCCAAAUUAAGCCUGAAG
rnacentral:lncRNA from 1 species